rnacentral:rRNA from 2 species
GUGGAUUAGUGGCGAACGGGUGAGUAACACGUGGGCAAUCUGCCCUGCACUCUGGGACAAGCCCUGGAAACGGGGUCUAAUACCGGAUGACACCCCCUCUCGCAUGGGAGGGGGUUGAAAGCUCCGGCGGUGCAGGAUGAGCCCGCGGCCUAUCAGCUUGUUGGUGAGGUAGAAGCUCACCAAGGCGACGACGGGUAGCCGGCCUGAGAGGGCGACCGGCCACACUGGGACUGAGACACGGCCCAGACUNNUACGGGAGGCAGCAGUGGGGAAUAUUGCACAAUGGGCGAAAGCCUGAUGCAGCGACGCCGCGUGAGGGAUGACGGCCUUCGGGUUGUAAACCUCUUUCAGCAGGGAAGAAGCGAAAGUGACGGUACCUGCAGAAGAAGCGCCGGCUAACUACGUGCCAGCAGCCGCGGUAAUACGUAGGGCGCAAGCGUUGUCCGGAAUUAUUGGGCGUAAAGAGCUCGUAGGCGGCUUGUCACGUCGGUUGUGAAAGCCCGGGGCUUAACCCCGGGUCUGCAGUCGAUACGGGCAGGCUAGAGUGUGGUAGGGGAGAUCGGAAUUCCUGGUGUAGCGGUGAAAUGCGCAGAUAUCAGGAGGAACACCGGUGGCGAAGGCGGAUCUCUGGGCCAUUACUGACGCUGAGGAGCGAAAGCGUGGGGAGCG